AAAAAAUUAAAAUGGCGGCGUUUACCGGCCAAUCGAGCGAGAAACUCAAACAAAUAAUUGACCACGAGAUAGACAGUUUGACUUUGUUGGGAUUUAGUGCAAAAAUGGCCAGAGAUAUCCAGAUUGAUAGAAAGUCGCCAACCUAUAUAUAUGGUACCCCAGGGGAACAAAGCACACCUUCAUAGACAUGCUACAUCAACAUCAUAGUGAUAAGAUUGUAUUAUUGGUAGUUGAUGAAGUUCAUACUAUUCCGAAGUGGGGUGAAAAAUCUGAUGCAAGUAACAAAAGCAGGCGAAAGGCACAAGAAGGGGCAUUCCGAACUGGGGAACUGAGAUCGUUUUUUUUCCUGGUGUCGGAGUUUUGGCAUUAACAGCAACAACAUCAAAAUGUCUGCAAAAUCAGAUUAAGGAAAGUUUAAUUAUGCAGACUGCAAAGUUGUAAAUGUUUGCCCAAACAGAGAUAACAUCAGACUAUCAUCAUUUUAUUGAAUGGUCGACAAGCUAUGAGAAGAUCUACAUGAAUCCCUUAGGACAAUAGUAUACUGUUCAUCUACUGAUGCAACAGGAACACUUUAUCAUUUUUUUAAGGACGAAUACCCUCAAUCACAGCGAGACGGAUAAUACAGUCCAGGAAUCGCAGUUAAAAGAGUUUACUGAAUUAUCUACUUUUAAUUUUGAGAUUAUUUUUAUGUACAACAGCUCUUGGUAUGGGCAUUGACAUGAAAUCAACAUACCAUGUACUUCACUAUGGGCCAUCAUUUGAUCUCGAGAGCUAUAUACAAGAAUCUGGCAGAGUUGGAAGAGAUGGUAAAUCAUCUCAUGCCGUGUUAUUUUAUCACGGUGGAAUGUUACGCGACAUUUGUCCAAAACUAAAAAGUUAUGUCAAGAAUGAUACUCUCUGUAGGAGAGUUAAAUUAUUUGAAGAUUUUACAUCCAGUAAAGACUUAAGUGUUUUAAAAAACAAGGAAUCGCAUCACAACUGCUGUGAUAUAUGUGAACGGAACUGUUCUUGUAGUAAUUGCGACUCUCAUGCUAACUGUGUAGAAAAAUAUAUGGUCCAUUACUGUGCCAAUACAGAGAGUGAUAAGUCAUCAGAUGACACGUGCAGUUUAGAAUCGGAUGCUGCAUUGGCAGAUUCAUCAGUCUUCAUAUUCUAAUGAAAGUUUGGAAGCAGACCAAACUGAAUAAAUCAAUGUACAUGUACAUAUCACUUUGUUGAUCAUGUAUGCAUUUAAGUGAAAAAAAAAACAUCAUUAAUGUAAAUAAAUAUUUUUUUAUUAC